rnacentral:lncRNA from 1 species
AGAAGAUUUAAUUAUUGGACACAUACCUUUAAAAUUCUUCAUUAGGUUCUAAAUUCCUAGAAUUUUUAUACAAACACAGUUCAUGUUCUAAGCCCUGUCUUCUUGUUCACCAUUAUCUCUCAUCUCUUCUGGGAGGUGAUAUUCUAAAGUGGGAAACAAAAAUACAUCUGACUCUGCAGACUUCAACCUUAUGUCCUGAAUUUUGGAAUGUAUAAUUAACCCCACUGAUUCAUUUCUGGGAAAGGCAUCCAGUUGGAAAACAGGAAAUCCUAUAUGGAGAGUAUGGGACUAAAAACUCUUUUUGAAACAGCAAGUGAAGCUGUACUCAAAUGCAAAGUUUCACUUGAGGAAUACAACUUUGUUUCCUGGUCUAUUGGAAAGGAGACUCUAUGGAUCAUAUGGAGCACGCCUCUAAAAUGUGAAGACAGACUUGCUUGAUGAAGUUUUGGAGCUUCUCUUUUACAAUAUGUGUUUUGAACACGCUAUGAAUCAUAGUAACAGAAUCAAAUCCUUGAAAACCUCAUUAAACAGCUAUGUAACAUGAUU